UACGUAGGGUGCGAGCGUUAAUCGGAAUUACUGGGCGUAAAGCGUGCGCAGGCGGUUCGUUGUGUCGGCGGUGAAAGCCCCGGGCUCAACCUAGGAAUGGCCGUUGAAACUGGCGAACUGGAGUGUGGCAGAGGGGGGUGGAAUUCCGCGUGUAGCAGUGAAAUGCGUAGAGAUGCGGAGGAACACCGAUGGCGAAGGCAGCCCCCUGGGCUAGCACUGACGCUCAGGCACGAAAGCGUGGGGAGCAAACAGG
rnacentral:rRNA from 1 species